ensembl:lncRNA
AUGGUUGGGAAUAAAUACAAGGUGCCUGGAGGCGGGUGCGCGGGGGGCUCGCGGCCCUCGCCCCCGGGCAGCUUGCACGCUUGCACAUGCGUUUGCACGCUUGCACAUGCGCUCGCACACUUGCACGCUUGCACACGCACACUCCCUUCCCGGGGGAGCCGGGGGAGCACAGGAACAGCCCGGAGCCGCCCCGCCUGCACCAACGCACGCGCGCGCGCACGCACACACACGCCGCGGCGGCAUAUGAUGCUCAGCCGAUCUCUGCGGCCCGAAACGCCUCAUAAUAAAUUCAUUAUCUCAGGCGCCUUCGGCAUGUUCCGCGCUCGCUUGCAAAGCAGCAAUUUUCCCCAAGUGUCGGGCUGGAGGGGAAAAGCAGCGCGGGGAGGGGAGAUGCCGCUCGGGAGGAAAAACCCUCCCCGGGACACGGUGGGCGGGCGUGCGAGCGAGGCGUCCGCGCAGGGAGAGCUUCUGCCGCGUUUAAUCUUUGGGAAUUGCCGCUCGUUCUGCCGUUGCCCCAGCAAGGGAGCAGAGGGACGGGACGGCCCCGAGCCCCCGGGGCAGGGAUGGGCUGGCCGUCGCUCCUCCCCGUCUGCACGCUGGGGUGCACAACACACGCACCGAGUGCGCCAGGCCUCUGCGCCGCCCUGGAUCGCCGCCGGCUGGGUCCAGCCCUGCCGCGCGGCUCCGAACCAGUUCUGCAACUCCCUUCCCGGCAGCUGCGGGAUCCCAAGCGCGGUGGCGAUAGAAUCGGCGCUCCGCCUGGGCUCGGGCCCCAGCAGCACCGCUCAGCCCGUCCCUCCGACGGCGGCGGCGUCCGUCUGUCCAGGGUCCCGCUCCCCGUGGCCCCAAUCCCCAGGCUGCUGCAGGAUGGCCCCGGCGCGGGAUCCUCGUUAUCCCAGCAUCCCUCACCCCGUCGCUGCGCACCUUCCCACCGCACCCCCUGGACGCUGUCCCCAGCUGAGCCUUCGCACCGUGAGCCGGGCUAAAAAAGUCCCUUGCGCGUCGCUCCCGCCGCCCCUCCCCUGCUGCCGGCUGGUUUUCCCGGCAGUCGGAUCCGUGCUGAAAAACAGGUCAAGUUUGCACCCUGGCAGCAACCCCGGGGUCACGUCACCGGCCCGGAUUGCCUCGCCCAGGAAGGCGAGCCGAAAGGCACGGGGUUUCCACCGAAAAUGGGUGGAAAUGGGGGGACCCCCGCUGCUGCCCGGCCCCUUUUCCUGCUGCGGGAAGCCCCCCGCACGCCCGGAGCUCGUGCAAUGCACAGCGCCUCCAAGGGCAGCUGCUUUCUCCGCCCGCUCCCACUCCUGGAGAGACCGGGACGCUCCCGGCUCCGCACCCGGCUCCGCAGCCCGGCUGGGCUCGCGGAGGGCGCGCGCGGGCCGAGGGAAACGCCGGGGCCCUGUGCCCUCCCUUGGCACGUGCCCGGGCACGGCGGCUCCGGGAGCGCCCGGCAUUCCCAGCGCCUGCUGGCAGCCGGCCCACGGAGCAGGCAGGUCCCUGCCGGCUCCGGGGCCACUGCCGUGCCCCGGCUCCUCUUCCCGCCGCCGCGGGGCUGGGAGCCGGGGCCGUGCCGGCAGCGCCGGAGCGGGCGCCGCGCGGCGGGGCUGCGAGCUGGGAGCGUGCCAUCCUCGCUCCAUCUGCUCCUGA